CGGUGAGGUAGAGGUGCGAUCAUCAAGAGUAUUCAAUGGAAGCCAUGACAAGCCAAGAUCAUUGAAGAAAGGGGUGAUUGCCGAAGACUGUGGUUGAGAGUCAAUCAAUCUUAGUCUGGUGUAAUCUCUUAAGAGGGGAGACACUGUCAUGCAUGCUUUUUGGGUGCAUGGAGCGCUACUGAUCGA
rnacentral:ncRNA from 1 species